rnacentral:lncRNA from 1 species
GCUGCAGGCAAGGGGCCGGGUAGAACCAAGGGAGGCAGGAGGGCAGCUGAGCUGGUGGCAAAGCCAUUGGAGCAGGUGGGGUUGAUUACCUGAGCAGGAGCUAUAUAAUGGCUGGGGAGGGGGUGGUUUAGUUCAGUCCAGCUUUGAUUUUGCUCUGAAUGUGAGGGGUCUGUGUUGGUUUCCAGAUAGUUAUGAAGAAGGAAAAUGAGAAGCCCUUCUGUUGGGUGACAUGGAAUGCAUCUCAGGUUACCAGAAUAAAUGAGUGUGAUCACAGGAUGUCACAUGUUUGGAAAGGUUUUCUGAUCACUGUGCUGCCAGGUGAGUGGGAACAGGCUCUACUCUGAGGCUUAUCAAGGCUUUUAACUGAAGCUGGA